rnacentral:rRNA from 1 species
UUGUGCCUACGGGGGGCAGCAGUGGGGAAUAUUGCACAAUGGGGGAAACCCUGAUGCAGCGACGCCGCGUGAAGGAAGAAGUAUUUCGGUAUGUAAACUUCUAUCAGCAGGGAAGAAAAUGACGGUACCUGACUAAGAAGCCCCGGCUAACUACGUGCCAGCAGCCGCGGUAAUACGUAGGGGGCAAGCGUUAUCCGGAUUUACUGGGUGUAAAGGGAGCGUAGACGGCAGGGCAAGUCUGGAGUGAAAGGCAGGGGCCCAACCCCUGGACUGCUCUGGAAACUGUCCGGCUGGAGUGCAGGAGG